rnacentral:lncRNA from 1 species
AUUAAAUGUUAAAAUAGCUUAUAAAUGAUAAAUUAUCAGAAUUGCAGAGAAUAUUACAAAAUAUUUUAAUUUCAUCACGUGAAUUGCCAUCACUUACAUUGUGAUGUUCACUGUCUUUAAGUGGUAUCAAGAUCAAUACACUAAAGAAUUAGCAUCACACUUCACAGCUAUGGUAUCUAAACAUAUAAAUGCACAAAUUUAAGAUUAAUAUAAAUAAUAUGCAAAAUGUUCUUCAGGUGCCAAGUACAGCUGUUGCAAAUAUCACACUCAUCCUGCCUAUCUCCUGGAUUACAAGUUCAAACAAAGAGAAAAAAGAAAAAUGUACAUUCCACCGUAUUAGGAACAACACUCUGUUAUCUAAGAGUCUGUCGCUGUCUGAGAGGAAAGAAUUGCCAUGUUAAUUAUUUUGCCUUUUCUCUUAUAGAGGAAGUCCGAAGGUAAAUUCUCCCUAUACUUGGUAUCUGUCCACCACAUCAACAGUGACACAGCAUAAACCUUCUCAGCACUGGAAAGUCAUUCCCCUUUCAGAAACAAAGGGCAAGAGACAUGGGACCUGAAAUAGAGUUAGGCAUGGGAGUGGAUAUUUCAGAUGUGAAGAUGCAUUCCACUAACACUAAGGAAAAGAAAAGAGACAGAAAGGAGCAGAGAAAUUAUUUGAAGAAAUAGCUGAAAAUCUCCACAAUUUGGAGAAAGAUCUAAAUUUACAGAUUCAAGAAGUGAACUCCAAGCAAGAUAAAUUCAAAGAAACUGACAUCUAGGAAGGUUAUAUUCAAACUGCUGAAAACCAAAGAUAAACAGAAGAUUUUGAAAACAGCCAGAGAAAAAAGGCACAUUACAUAUAGAGUACAACACUUUGAUGACUAACUUCUAAUCAGAAACAAAGGCGACAAGACAGUAAAAUUACACCUUUAAUGAUAAUGUCAACCCAGCAUUCUGUAUUCAGUGAAUACAUUCAAGAAUAAAGAUAUUUCCAGAUGAAAGUAAACUGAGAAUUUGUUACCAGCAGAACUGUUAAGUGAAGUUCUUCAUGUUGAAGGAAAAUGAUACCAAUAAAAACUAAAAUAUUCAGCAAGUAAUAAAGAACACUAGAACUGAUAAAUAUAUGGGUAAAUACAAAAGCCAUUUUUCUUUAAAAUACUUCUGAUUCCUUAAAGCAAAAAUUAAAAUAUUGCAUUGUAGGAUUUAAGAAACAAUCUUUAGUAAACAUCUGCUCAAUAUGAUGUUAUGUACAUAC